rnacentral:lncRNA from 1 species
GGAGCAUUCAGUACGUUUGCACUGAUACGGUUUGGCUCUGUGUCCCCGCCCAAAUCUCAGGUGGAAUUGUAAUCCCCAGAGUUGGGGGUGAGGCCUGGUGGGGGGCGAUUUUAGUGCCGUCCCUGGGUGCUGUCCUCCCCACCCGGCCUGAGUUCUCUCUAGCUCUGGGUGUUUAAGGAUGCAGCAGCUCCCGCUCACUCUUUUGCUGCUCCUGUCAGGUUAGACCAGCCUGCUUCCCCUCGCCUUCCGCCACGAUUGAGAGUCUCCUGAGGCCUCCCCAGAAGCCAAGCAGACACCAGCAUCAGGCUUCCCCUGCAGCCUGAAGAACCGUGAGCCAAUUCAGCCUCUUUUCUGUAUCAAGUACACAGUCUCAGACACAUUGGUCCCACCCUCCUGUCUAAAUCUUGGCUAUCAGCUCAUCCUGCUGCCUCUCCCUCCCCAUUCCUGGCUUCUCUCAACAGGAAGAGGAGCAGGGGCCUCUGCGUCAAAGGCCGGCUUUGGCAGGACGGGCUGGCCAAGAGCAACCGAUUGUCGAGAUAAGAGGCCGAUAGCUGUCGGGCACGGAGCUGGUGGGCGCCAGGCUGGCGGGGCGUGGGGCAAGCCUCCGGGAAGCGACUGAUGAGAGAGCAGCGGGAGGACCAGAGGUGAUGACGAAGGCAGGGCGGGAGUGGGACGGGGGCCGCACAACAGAGACCCUAACCUGAGCCCGCUGACCCAGCCGUCUGACCCCUGUCCAGGGACAGGUGGGUGCGGGGUGUGAGCAGAGAGGACGGAGGCAGGUGUGGCUGUGGGCAGGGUGGCUUCUCUAAGGUCCCCCGUGGUAGUGGGGGAUCUUUUUGUAGGACGGAGUCAUGGGCAGCCUGGGCCAGCCAGGGAGGCCCUGCCAGUGGGGAAGGAGGUGGCUGCUCCUACGGCUGGGCCAGAGGUGUCCCUGAUGUCCGUGGAUGGUCCUGGCAACCAAGAAAGCGGCUGCUCUUCCUCCUCCACACAGCCACCUUGGUGAGGGAGACGGGG